UGACAAACAUCUGGCCAUUUUUCUAAAUCAAUUAUGAGAGAUUAUAAUUCAGUGUAGUUUCCUUAACCCAGCCACCCAUUGGUCCUGGCCACCCAUUUCAUUUCUCUAUCAGCUCCAGAUAUUAGAAAGAAAUUAAAAAGGCCUGAGGAGGGUCCCCAAACCCCCAAACCGGAAUUGGUGGAAGUGGCCUUUAAGGUUUCUAAUGCCCGAGAGGAAGCAGCUGAGUCUUCCCAACAGGCCCAGCUGCAACAGAAGGGCUACGCUUCAAGCCCGCUCCUUGGAAGCCACUGGCGCCCCCACCAGGAGGACAAGGGAAGUUGUCCACGAGGCUCCAUCCCACCAGAGCUCAGCCCAAGUCAACUACACCAGGAUCCCGCUACAAAUGCAGCCAGGAAGGCCCCUGGUCACAGUACUGCCCUGAUCCUCAGCCACCAACGAGGCCAUGCCCCAUCUGCCAACAGCCUGGACACUGGAAAUCAGAAUGCCCUCCCAGGGGUUCAUCCUCCAUGCCACGCCACGGAGGUCCAGCCGCACCCACAGCGGCAUCUGAGGCUCUUCCAGCCUUCAAACUCCUCAGCCUGAUGGAGGACUGAUGCAGCCUAGACUCCGCCCUCUCUGAGCCUAGGGUGAUGCUCCAGGAAUCAGAUUCCUGAGGUCUCCAGGAUGUCAGUUAACAGAACGCUUCUUCACCCAUACAUCCUGCUGAGACUCAGCGAUGGUUUCAGAAAUAGGAAACUGGGGUCUGGAAGGAAAGGAGGAGGGGUCCUUAAGGUGAACAAGGACUGGCUGGUGGAGUGAAAACACUGCGUUUAUGACCUUCCGUGAACAACAGUCCUCAGCAUUCCAGGAAGUUAUCUAUAGUCCUUAGGCAAGCGAGGCUUACAGGUG